rnacentral:piRNA from 1 species
CAUAACCUUAACUACCCCUCGAUAAU